rnacentral:rRNA from 1 species
UUCCGGUUGAUCCUGCCGGACCCGACUGCUAUUUGGGUGAGAAUAAGCCAUGCGAGUUGAAUGGGAUACCUAACGUUCCCAUAGCAAACUGCUCAGUAACACAUGAUCAACUUACCCUAUAGAGAAAAAUAACCUCGGGAAACUGAGGAUAAUAUUUCAUAAUUGAAUUGGCUUGGAAAAGUUUUUCAAUGAAAAGGAUAAAAAAAAUGGUUUUUAUCUGCUAUAGGAUAGGAUCGUGUUCGAUUAUGGUUGUUGGUGAGAUAAUGGCUCACCAAGCCGAUAAUCGAUAGGGGCCGUGAGAGCGGGAGCCCUGAGAUGAAUACUGAGACAAUGAUUCAGGCCUUACGAGGCGCAGCAGGCGCGAAACCUUUACAAUGCACGCGAGUGUGAUAAGGCUACCCGGAGUGCCGAGAGAAAAACUGUCGGCUGUUAUAGGUGUGUAAAAUACCCUAUGAGAAAGGAGAGGGCAAGGCUGGUGCCAGCCGCCGCGGUAAAACCAGCUCUUCAAGUGGUCGGGACUUUUAUUGGGCUUAAAGUGUCCGUAGCCGGUUUAAUAAGUUCCUGGUUAAAUCUGACAGCUUAACUGUCAGUUCGCUAGGAAUACUGUUUUACUAGAGGGUGGGAAAGGUCUGAGGUACUCUAGGGGUAGCGGUGAAAUGUGAUAAUCCUUAGGGGACCACCAGUGGCGAAGGCGUCAGACUGGAACACGCCUGACGGUGAGGGACGAAAGCUAGGGGAGCGAACGGGAUUAGAUACCACGGUAGUCCUAGCUGUAAACGAUGCGUGCUAGGUGUUGGUAGGGCUUUGAGCUGUACCAGUGCCAAAGGGAAACUGUUAAGCGCGCCGCCUGGGAAGUACGCUCGCAAGAGUGAAACUUAAAGGAAUUGGCGGGGGAGCACCACAAGGGGUGAAGCCUGCGGUUCAAUUGGACUCAACGCCGGG